rnacentral:rRNA from 2 species
GGACUACACGGGUAUCUAAUCCUGUUUGCUCCCCUAGCUUUCGUGCCUUAGUGUCAGGAGUUGUCCAGGGACUCGCCUUCGCCACUGGUGUUCCUCUCGAUAUCUACGCAUUUCACUGCUACACCGAGAAUUCCAGUCCCCCCUCCAACCCUCAAGCCGAAUAGUAUCCAAUGCCGUUUCGGAGUUGAGCUCCGAGAUUUCACAUCAGACUUACCCGACCACCUACGCACCCUUUACGCCCAGUGAAUCCGAACAACGCUUGGGACCUCUGUAUUACCGCGGCUGCUGGCAC